rnacentral:rRNA from 1 species
CCUACGGGAGGCAGCAGUGAGGAAUAUUGGACAAUGGGCGGAAGCCUGAUCCAGCCAUGCCGCGUGCAGGAAGACUGCCCUAUGGGUUGUAAACUGCUUUUGUACGGGAAGAAACACUCCUACGUGUAGGGGCUUGACGGUACCGUAAGAAUAAGCAUCGGCUAACUCCGUGCCAGCAGCCGCGGUAAUA